rnacentral:rRNA from 1 species
UACGGAAGGUGCGAGCGUUAAUCGGAAUUACUGGGCGUAAAGCGCGUGUAGGCGGCCCUGCAAGUCGGAUGUGAAAUCCCACGGCUCAACCGUGGAAGUGCAUUCGAAACUGCAGGGCUAGAGUCCUGGAGAGGAAGGUGGAAUGCUUGGUGUAGAGGUGAAAUUCGUAGAUAUCAAGCGGAACACCGGUGGCGAAGGCGGCCUUCUGGACAGUGACUGACGCUGAGACGCGAAAGCGUGGGGAGCAAACAGG